rnacentral:pre_miRNA from 1 species
CUGGCUAAACACGCAAACAUGUUUAUCAAACAUUGCGUUUGACGCAAGUGUUUGUAUGAUUAGCCA